CCCCCCCCCCCCCCCCCCCCCCCCCCCCCCCCCCCCCCCCCCCCCCCCCCCAAAAUGACCCAAAUCCCCCAGGACAGGUUCAUGCUGACCAUCAGGGUCACCCUGCACUGGACAAUGGCAGAGUGGUCACUCAGUGGUCACUCAGUGGUCACUCAGCGGUCACUCACUGGUCAGCAAACCCAAAAAACCCCAAAAGUGCAAAAAUUCCCGUUGAAAUCGGUCCAAAAAUGACCCAAAAAUGACCCAAAAAUGACCCAAAUCCCCCAGGACAGGUUCUCACUGACCAGCAGGUUCUUGCUGACCAGCAGGGUCAGCCUGCACUGGACAAUGGCAGAGUGGUCACUCAGUGGUCACUCAGUGGUCACUCAGUGGUCAGCAAACUCAAAAAACCCAAAAGUGCAAAAAUUCCCGUUGAAAUCGGGCAAAAAGUGACCCAAAAAUGACCCAAAUCCCCCAGGACAGGUUCUCGCUGACCAGCAGGUUCGUUCUGGAGUGGACAACGGCAGAGUGGUCACUCAGUGGUCACUCAGUGGUCACUCAGUGGUCACUCAGUGGUCACUCAGGGUCACUCAGAGGUCACUCAGGGGUCACUCAGGGGUCACUCACUGGUCACUCAGGGUCACUCGGGGGUCACUCAGGGUCACUCAGGGGUCACUCAGGGCCCCCCCCCCCCCCCCCCCCCCCCCCCCCCCCCCCCCCCCCCCCCCCCCCCCCCCCCCCCCCCCCCCCCCCCCCCCCCCCCCCCCCCCCCCCCCCCCCCCCCCCCCCCCCCCGGGUCACUCAGGGGUCACUCAUUGGUCACUCAGGGUCACUCUGGGGUCACUCAAUGGUCACUCAGGGGUCUCCCCCCCCCCCCCCCCCCCCCCCCCCCCCCCCCCCCCCCCCCCCCCCCCCCCCCCCCCCCCCCCCCCCCCCCCCCCCCCCCCCCCCCCCCC
rnacentral:lncRNA from 12 species